rnacentral:misc_RNA from 1 species
AACAGGACCACUUUCUCCAAAAUCAACCACCUGGAGGGGCUCUUCAGAUGGAUGAGGAAGAGCCAAGGGCUGCACCAAUAAAUCCAAUUGCAUUGCGGAGGUUGUCAAAAGGUCAACAGUACAUGGUAUCUGAUUGAUAGUACACCUCAUGUACCGUGGGCUACAAUUUCCAGUAUCCCUAACAAUAUAGUCACUUGUGGCAGGCGGAGGGGGAUUGGCUUGGUUGCCUUGUCGGGUUUCAUGCAGAACUAUAGAAGUAUUUGGAAUAGGACGCGGGAUUUGAUUGGGAUCAACUUUUGACGGGCUGGUAUGGCCAAUAGAAGGAGUUAUCGAAGCCACUGCCUGAUUUGGAAGAGGAGGUGGCAUUCCAUACAUACUUGGUGGUUGCAUCGAACCAGGGAUAGCAGAAGGUGGAGCCCCCUGAUGGGGUUGCCACGACUGUGUUCCAUAAGGAGCACCCAUGGGUGGAGGCAUGGCUUGAACAGGUGCUGCAAAUGGGGAGGAACCUGAAGGAGGUGGCAUAUUCUGAAAUGAUCCGGAAAAUGGUGGUGGUGGUUGUGCUGUAACUGGUGUUGCACUGACAGAUGACGAACUUCCAAAGGGUGAGCGCAUGCCUGAAGGCUGAGAAGAAGCGCCAGGUGAAACCAUAGCUGGUGGAGGAGCUCCAAAUGGUGGCCUCAUUGUAUUGCUUGGAGGAGGAAAACGUCCUCCGCCCUGCAUCAUUCCUGGUCCACCCGCUGGUGGCCCAUUACUAAUGGAGCUAGAAAUACUUGAUGGUGGCGGCACAGCAGGACCUGUAGUCAACGGCGAAGAAGAAAAAGGACCCGGAGGCCCUGGACGAGGACCCAAUGCAGAAGGCAAAGAACCAGGUGGCGGGGGUGCACCACCCAUAGAAGGAGGCAUCACACCAGGAGGAAGUGGCCGAGAUGCAAAGGGAGGAACAGACUGAGCCACAGGAGGAGGCAAUCCGUGUGGAGGACCACUAGGAGGUGCAGGACCUCUCUGGAACACACCAGGUGGUGGAGGUCCUGGGCGACUAACAGGAGGUCCACCAGAAAAAGGAGGCUGCUGCCCAAAUGGGGUAUUAGGCCUAGGAGCACUAGGUGGCUGAUUGGGCCUAUUUACUUGUAGAUUUUGCAUGCCAUCAGCAAGUGCAUUAGGGUUAUAAUUGGGUGGUGGUGCAUUCCUUGGUCUAGGUCCUCCUGGAGCUGCCAUUGAUUAUUUCCAAAUUUCCCCAAAACUCAGCUAAAAAGAUGUUAAUUGAAUUGAAGGACGUCGACGCCGGCAGCACCGAAACGGCGUCGUCUUAAAAUUAAACUCUGAAUGAAUUCGCCUGCACACCGAAACCAAGUGAAAAAAACCGUGCUUUUCGCGAAACCGGGGGUUUCAAUGACUUCGAUCUGAAGAUCUAGGAGAUGAAGAUGGCGUGCGAAAAGCUAGAGAGAGGGGGGCGGUGCUGGGUUUAUAGAUCAGAAUUUGUGAAGAUUUCAGUGAUCGGACGAUUGCUCAAUGGGGAAGAAGGGUAAAU